GAGUUUGAUCAUGGCUCAGGAUGAACGCUAGCGGCAGGCUUAACACAUGCAAGUCGAGGGGUAGCAGGGAGCUUGCUCCGCUGACGACCGGCGAACGGGUGCGUAACGCGUAUAGAAUCUACCUCUUACUAAGGGAUAGCCCAGAGAAAUUUGGAUUAAUAUCUUAUAGUAUACAGACCUGGCAUCAGGAUUGUAUUAAAGGUUACGGUAAGAGAUGACUAUGCGUCCUAUUAGCUAGAUGGUGUGGUAACGGCACACCAUGGCUACGAUAGGUAGGGGCCCUGAGAGGGGGAUCCCCCACACUGGUACUGAGACACGGACCAGACUCCUACGGGAGGCAGCAGUGAGGAAUAUUGGACAAUGGAGGCAACUCUGAUCCAGCCAUGCCGCGUGCAGGAAGACUGCCCUAUGGGUUGUAAACUGCUUUUAUACAGGAAGAAACACUCUCACGUGUGAGAGCUUGACGGUACUGUAAGAAUAAGGAUCGGCUAACUCCGUGCCAGCAGCCGCGGUAAUACGGAGGAUCCAAGCGUUAUCCGGAAUCAUUGGGUUUAAAGGGUCCGUAGGUGGAUGAUUAAGUCAGAGGUGAAAUCCUGCAGCUCAACUGUAGAAUUGCCUUUGAUACUGGUUGUCUUGAGUUAUUAUGAAGUAGUUAGAAUAUGUAGUGUAGCGGUGAAAUGCAUAGAUAUUACAUAGAAUACCAAUUGCGAAGGCAGAUUACUAAUAAUAUACUGACACUGAUGGACGAAAGCGUGGGGAGCGAACAGGAUUAGAUACCCUGGUAGUCCACGCCGUAAACGAUGGUCACUAGCUGUUCGGACUUCGGUUUGAGUGGCUAAGCGAAAGUGAUAAGUGACCCACCUGGGGAGUACGUUCGCAGAUGAAACUCAAAGGAAUUGACGGGGCCGCACAGCGUGAGCAUGGUGGUUUAUUCGAUGAUACGCGAGACUACAGGGCUUAAUGUAGAUUGACAGGUUAGAAAUAGACUUUUCUCGACAAUUUACAGGUGCUGCAUGAUGUCGUCAGCUCGUGGCGUGAGGUGUCAGUAAGUCCUAUAACGAGGCGCAACCCUGUUGUUAGUUGCAAGCAUCUAGUCGAACUUAACAGACUGCAAUGUCAAACAUUGUUGAAGAGCAGCAUGCGUCAUAAACUCACUUCUA
rnacentral:rRNA from 1 species